rnacentral:rRNA from 1 species
UACGGGGGGGCAAGCGUUGUUCGGAAUUAUUGGGCGUAAAGAGCUCGUAGGCGGUUUGUUGCGUCUAUCGUGAAAACCUGCAGCUUAACUGUGGGCUUGCGGUGGAUACGGGCAGACUUGAGUUCGGUAGGGGAGACUGGAAUUCCUGGUGUAGCGGUGAAAUGCGCAGAUAUCAGGAGGAACACCGGUGGCGAAGGCGGGUCUCUGGGCCGAUACUGACGCUGAGGAGCGAAAGCGUGGGGAGCGAACAGG